CAGCCGCGCCGCCCAAUCACAGCGCGAGGAGCGCCGCUCGGCCCCGCCCCCCUCCAGACCCACCCCGAGGGGGCGGGGCGCGCUCCCCCCUCCCCUCCCCUCCCACCUGCCCGCGUGUGCGCGCGCACGGCUGAGGAGGCGCGCGAGCGGGCUGCGUGCACGCGCCCCGCCUUCCCGCCUCAGGGCGUGGUGCUCGCGCCGCCCUCAGAGCUGCUCUGUGUAACGACUGCGGUGGGAAGCCCUCCUUUAUUUAAUGCCCCGUUGGUGGCUUUAAUAGAUGCCCAUAGUUUGCAUCAGGGAUAAAGAAAUGCUUGUUUAGGUGUUGAGGACUGAUGUGGGGAAGCACAAAGGCCUCAGCGCUGGGAUUUAACUUCUGUAUUUCUGAAGCAAGAAGCACCAAGUUCUCAAUAACUACAUCACUAACUAUAGAUGUGCAUUGGAGGGUUACGGUCCAAGUUCCCUUGGUGGGGAGCUGUCGUUACGUGGUGCUACAUUGGGUGCUGUGUGCGAGAGCGCUGCUAUGAUUAGAGGGUUUCAUCUGUGCCUUUGCCGUUCCCACACUGGAUCAAUACUGUUUACACAGAAGCAGCAUUGUAGGUCUGGCACUUCUUGGAUAGAGCCCAACGUGUGGCCUUGGUCUAAUUCUGUCUACAUUACCUACCUUUCUGUACCCGUUUAUCGCUUGCGAGAACCAGCUUUGAGUCUUACAUUCUGUGAUCCAAACUGUCUAACUAAAACACAUUUCCACACCCACUGAAAUAUGUUUUUUACUCUCUUUCGAACUCUCACAGCUGAUACUUUCUCUAUUGGAUAAUUACAUCUCUUAUUUGUACAACAAAAAAAUUGCAAACGUGUACGUGACUGAGAUGAAUUAUGCUGUUGGUAUUACAAACUGAUUGUUUAAGUAGCUCAUCUCUUCUAUUCCAAAUGGUCCUAGACCCGCAGUAUAAAUUAUGCAUUUCAUAAGUGUUUUUAUCUUUGUAUUCUAAAGAAUUACAUAUUCAAACUUUCAUUCAUCCCAAAUUAUGUAGCAGAAAGCACAUCCACGUCUCACUCAUCACAUUGCUGGACAUGAGGCAGGAGGAUAAAAUUAUGGCUCAUGGUUAGCUGCAUGGACUGCUUUAUUUAGCCUUACAAGUCUUACAUAGCACUUAUGAAUACUUCUGUUAUGCUUGGAAUUUCUGAAACA
rnacentral:lncRNA from 1 species